rnacentral:lncRNA from 1 species
CGAGCCCCGGCACGCGGGAUGUUGUUUUUAGCAGCCUGACAGAUGCCAAACCUGAGCGCUGCGCUUGAUAAACCCAAGGUAGAUGUUGUCCUGCUUUCCUGCUUUUUCCUGGAGCUGGGGAUGGAACAGUGGGACAGGAAUUGCUGUUGGAGCACAGGAUGGAUCCAGAGGCUUGGAGCCACCCCCGUGUCCCUGCCCAGAGGUGACAGCGUGGGAGGAGAGGCAGAAACUUCCCUCAAAAGACGUGGAGAGGCAGGAAAAGCGGCAGGAGAAGAUCCAGAGGGAACUCCCUGGUUGCCAGGAAUGCCGAGAACAUUAUUAUCCUGCAAAAACCAGGAAAACCCGGAUGGUUCUGGGAGCCUACGUCCUGCCCGUGAACUCUGCUCACCGAGGGCGUUCCAUGCCUGUGUUUUAUGACUGAAAACCUCCUGGAUCUGUUUUUCCCAUUGCUGUUUUCCACGGAUGAGCCUCUGGAAGCGGCGCAGCCAGCAACACCCGGAUCACUCAGACAAAGUGUCUUUUAAAGCUGAAUUCCGGCGCUGAAAGGAUGAGGGAGCGGGGCUGGGGGCACGCCUGGAUCCCACGCUGGGCCUGAGCAGGGAUCCUCUGGAAAAGGAUGGGAAGUUUUGGAAAGGGAAGAUUUCCCAGCCGCUGUUUUUUGGGAAUAAAGCCAGGGCGGCUCCUGGAGGGGAGCUCA